rnacentral:rRNA from 1 species
CUACGGGACGCUGCAGUGGGGAAUAUUGCACAAUGGACGAAAGUCUGAUGCAGCAACGCCGCGUGGAGGAUGACACUUUUCGGAGCGUAAACUCCUUUUAUAUAGGAAGAUAAUGACGGUACUAUAUGAAUAAGCACCGGCUAACUCCGUGCCAGCAGCCGCGGUAAUACGGAGGGUGCAAGCGUUACUCGGAAUCACUGGGCGUAAAGAGCGUGUAGGCGGGUUAAUAAGUCAGAAGUGAAAUCCAAUGGCUCAACCAUUGAACUGCUUUUGAAACUGUUAACCUAGAAUAUGGGAGAGGUAGAUGGAAUUUCUGGUGUAGGGGUAAAAUCCGUAGAGAUCAGAAGGAAUACCGAUUGCGAAGGCGAUCUACUGGAACAUUAUUGACGCUGAGACGCGAAAGCGUGGGGAGCAAACAGGAUUAGAUACCCGGGUAGUC